GUAGUAUUCCCUCCGUCCGGAAAUACUUGUCAUCAAAAUGAAUAAAAGAAGAUGUAUCUAGAUAUAUUUUAAUUAUAGAUACAUUUUAUUUUGUUCAUUUUGAUGACAAGUAUUUUCGGCCGGAGGGAGUACUAC
rfam:Triticum urartu cultivar G1812 contig965008, whole genome shotgun sequence.